AUCAUACACUGGAUAUUUGCGAUUUAGAAUAAUAUUUGUUUAAAGUUUAUUAUGUACAUUUCAGGAACAUGAUAUUUUUGAAGGCUUACACUGCAUAAGCACUGAAAAUACUCAUUGAUCGUACUAAACGGAGGUUCAUAAUAAUUUCCGGAAAUGCACAUAUCAGCCAUUACAGUUGAAUAACACAACAAAUGGUGUUUUCUUCCGAUAUAUGGCAGAAACCGGGGUGUCAUCUUUGUUUUACAGCGGGUUCUUCAAGAGUCACGAUCGGGUUAUCAUUGAUAUACUGGAGGAAAAUUCUAAACAAGUGCUCCGAGUUUUUCAUAUUGUUUUAUUUGUUGACAUCCGUAGUGCAGAUAAUAUUGACAACUGUAGAAAAAGUGCAUCUAUAAAUUAAAUGAUACUUAAUGGUCAUUAACUUUGUGUUUAACCCAUUAUACAGGAAAUACAUAUA